UAUGAAUCCAGUUUAUGGUCCUGAUUUUUUUUAUCAGAGACGGAGUUAUUAUUUAGCUUUAUACUUUUAUAACGUAUGAGAAAAACGUGACGAGAAUUAUUGAGCCAUUCAAUAAUUUAUUAUCCAGUUUAAUAACUGACUUAGCAAAGUCAAGUUAUUAAUUUAUAUGCGAUAGAAAUAUUAUUUCUAUUAUUUACUUGGAAGUCGUGAUCUAAUUCCGAAUCAUAAGAACGAGUUAAAUUAGAUAUUUAAUUCGUAGAGAGCUAUAACGAAGCGUCGUUAUUUAGUAGAACCCAAUAUUAGUUUUACAAAUACUUGUAACUUCAAUACUUUACAAAUCAUUAUUUUUUUUCCACUCCCUAAUGUUUCCUACACUAUACACAUCCACUCCACCAAAUCCCAUUAUACCUACCUCCCCACCACCACUCCUUUUCCCCCACCACACUAGUGCACCACCAACUCCACUCAAUCGUUUGGCACCAACAAAGAUAGAAAGUUUAAAGAAAAGAGUGUUGCAAAGACUAGUGGAAAGAAGGAAAAUAUCAACUCCCACCACCCUUUGCUCCCUCUCUUUACAGCCACCAAGAGCUUUCUCCAAAGAGCAUAGAAGCCUCCACUUCGUUCAGCCAAGUUCUCAAGUUCCAGUUCAUUCGACACGCCGUAUCCGAAAAGCAAGUUAAAACAUUCAUUCAAUUCUCUGCCAAACUUUAAGUUCUUUUAACUCAACAUCACAGCAGCCAACCAAGCCCAAAACAUUCGCAAGGUCAAGCGCGAGAGUAAGAACUACACAAUGAGUUAGAGUACCUUAGCAAAACUUUGCUAUCAGGUGGGCAAUUUCUUACGCGUAAAUAAAAUGCUAUGCAUGUGUUAUGCUUUAAAAUGCAAAUUGGAUCUUCAAGUGUGGUAUGCUUUAUUAUGCUUUACGCUAAAUGAUUUACGCUUGAUUACGCUUGAAUGCUUUACGCUGAUAAGUUUAUGCCUGUGAUUGAUGCUUGCGUCUGUUGGGGGAGGCCUCCCUCAACAGUACGAUGCCGUGUCCGUUGAGGAGGGCCUUCCUCACGGUGCGAUGCCCGUGUCCGCUGAGAGAGGCCUCUCUCGCGGCGCGAUGCCAGUAUGCCAGUAUGUCAGUGUUACAGCGUCUAUUGGGGGAGGCCUCCCUCAAUAGUACGAUGCCGUGACCGCUGAGGGAGGCCCCCUUCACGGCGCGAUGCCCGUGUUCGUUGGGGAAGGCCUUCUCCAUGACACGAUGCGUGUUUAUGAUUUUUAAUGAUGAAGAAUGCGCUCAUGCUAUUUAUGAAUUUGGAAAUGUUUAAUGAGCAAAGGAUUUGAAAGAAACUUAUGCCUCUUAUGCGAUGUUGUGUUUUGUUGUUGAUAUUAUGUUAUAUGCUUGGCACUGCCCACUGAGUACUCUUGUACUCAGCCCUUCGUAUGUUUAUGUUUGUGCAGGUUGAGUUGUGAUGGGCGAUGAAGUGUUGCUGAGUGAAGCUUUUGUCGAACUUAAAGUAGGCUCAGAAAGGAUACAUGUCUUCAUAUAUGUAUCACAGUUAUGCUUUCCGCUGUAAACACUGAUUAUUUCAGUUACGCCUUCCGUUGCAAACUCUGAUAAUGUUUUAGCCAAGCCCCUAAAAAUGCCUUUUUCCUUUUAAGGAAUAUAACGCGUAUACAAGUUCUUUGAGUACCCUUUUAUUGCGAACUAUGCCUUUUUCCUUUUUAAGGAAUAUUU